GACAGAGGGUGCAAACGUUGUUCGGAAUUACUGGGCGUAAAGCGUGUGUAGGUGGCUGUGCAAGUCGGAUGUGAAAGCCCUGGGCUCAACUCAGGAAGUGCACCCGAUACUGCAUAGCUAGAGUACCGGAGAGGUUGGUAGAAUUCUCGGUGUAGAGGUGAAAUUCGUAGAUAUCGAGAGGAAUACCUGUGGCGAAGGCGGCUCACUGGCCCGAUACUGACGCUGAGGCACGAAAGCGUGGGGAGCAAACAGG
rnacentral:rRNA from 1 species